UCAUUUUUCUAUUCAUAUUUUGUUGUAUUGAUUGUGUUAUUUGGACCAUAGCAAAAUACUCAAUAUAGAUGAUCAUAUGAUACUUUUGGUAAAUAAAGUGAUACUACAAUAUUUUGUUUGUUAAAUGUUUAGCCCCAAAUUUUCUUUUCAACCAUUUGAUAUGAAAGGCUUAAGCUACCUAUUUCAGUAUUCCCUGGAGAAUUUGAUCUAAUCUUCCAGGUGUUAUCCUUAAAUUUGAUUGAAGAAAUGAGAUUUGUUUACUUAACCUAUCCUUGAUGUCUGAUGGAUAAGAUGGUUUGAUUAAAUUUGUGAUCUG